UCUCCCCUAGCUCAGCUGGUUAGAGCGUUCGACUGUUACUUGGAAGCCGCAAUCGAGAGGUCGACAGUUCAAUCCUGUCGGGGAGAG
rnacentral:tRNA from 1 species